UACGGAGGGAGCUAGCGUUGUUCGGAAUUACUGGGCGUAAAGCGCGCGUAGGCGGCUUUGUAAGUUAGAGGUGAAAGCCCGGGGCUCAACCCCGGAACUGCCUUUAAAACUGCAUCGCUUGAAUCCGGGAGAGGUGAGUGGAAUUCCGAGUGUAGAGGUGAAAUUCGUAGAUAUUCGGAAGAACACCAGUGGCGAAGGCGGCUCACUGGACCGGUAUUGACGCUGAUGUGCGAAAGCGUGGGGAGCAAACAGG
rnacentral:rRNA from 1 species